rnacentral:rRNA from 1 species
GAUGAACGCUGGCGGCGUGCCUAAUACAUGCAAGUCGAGCGAACGGACGAGAAGCUUGCUUCUCUGAUGUUAGCGGCGGACGGGUGAGUAACACGUGGAUAACCUACCUAUAAGACUGGGAUAACUUCGGGAAACCGGAGCUAAAACCGGAUGAUAUUUUGAACCGCAUGAUUCAAAAGUUAAAGACGGUCUUGCUGUCACUUAUAGAUGGAUCCGCGCUUCAUUAGCUAGUUGGUAAGGUAACGGCUUACCAAGGCAACACUGCAUAGCCGACCUGAGAGGGUGAUCGACCACACUGGAACUGGGACACGGUUCAGACUCCUACGGGAGGCAGCAGUAGGGAAUCUUCCGCAAUGGGCGAAAGCCUGACGGAGCAACGCCGCGUGAGUUAUGAAGGUCUUCGGAUCGUAAAACUCUGUUAUUAGGGAAGAACAUAUGUGUAAGUAACUGUGCACAUCUUGACGGUACCUAAUCAGAAAGCCACGGCUAACUACGUG